CGCUCACCGAGCGGUGGAAGAACUGCCGCCUGCUCGCGGUGGGCAGCGCACCGAGAGCUGUGGGCGCGCGCACGUUCAAGUCGAUCCCGGGCGG
rnacentral:tRNA from 1 species